rnacentral:lncRNA from 1 species
CAAAUUUGAUCCAAAACCGAGCAACAGCUCUGUCAUAGGGACCAGCCGGCAGCAAGAGAUUCUGCGGCCAAAUUUCAUCGAUAUAUUGAAGGAUGACGGUGGAUUCACAGAUCGGUUUUCCGUCAUGAACGAGCACCGGGACUUUCUUAUGAAUUGGAUUAUAUUGAAGAAGCAAAGGACUCUUGUUGCGGACAUCUUCUUCAAUAUAUUCGUAAGGUAUGCCUUUGAGUUUCAGAGCCCAAAUAACUCUGCAAGCGUACGGACUAAACCAAGCUCCGAACAAUUUCACGACCGCCAUGGUUUGGAGAUUAAUUCAGAGAUUCUGAGAGCGCUGAGUGCAAAUUUAUAAUAGGAUUACUGGUCAAAGAUUUGUCUAAGGUAACGAUGGUGUGUGUUUUUUUCAUGACAUAAUUCUAAAUUUCAACCUGAAUAUUUAUAUUUUUUAUCAAUUUGGCCCUCAUCUUUUUUUAACUAAGUGUGAGUUUGGAUGGGUGAUCGGGUGCGGUACGGUGUGUUUAACUUAAUUUUUGUCUCACGAUACAAUAUCGUUACAGUAUCUAAUCUCACCGUCAUAACUGUUUUUUGCACAAAUCGAAGCUAAACGCAUCACCCAUCCAAAUCCACCCUAAAUUCGGUUAUUAACCUUUUAAAAAAUAAUACUUUUUUUAACGAAAAUACUAUUUAAAACAUUAACUUUAAAUUAUUUAAGAAAUAUAUUAGUAGUUGGUUGAAUUGAUUAGGUAAUUAGUUCAUCGAUUUAAUAAGUUUGAUAAAGAUAUAACAAUAAAUUCAUAAAAAAAAAAGAAUAUUUAAGAAAUUCAGUUUAAGAGUCAAUUGAAUUGAUUUUUUAAUUAGUUCAAGAUGUGAUUUGUUAGGACUUUGCUUUCCUCUUAUAAUUCACCAAAAGGAUAAUUUAUCUUUGAUGUUUUAGCAAACGUAUCAUCAUGUCGAGGGAGCAUUUGAAUAUAAAAUCAAAUCGUGCUAAUGUGUUGAUAUGUAAAAAGUGAAAAAUAUUUUAGAAUUGUUUUAGAACUAACUAGUACUUAAAUUAUUCGAAAAUUCUAUUUUAUUAUAUAUUAUAUGUGUAUGUAUGCUAACAUAUAUAAUAAACAAAAAUAAAAUAAAAUAAAAUUGCUUCUUUUUUCAUGUUUCUUACUCGUUGAAUUUUGUAAUAAUCCAGUUUUUAGUAGUGUUGGAAAGUAAAAUAUUGACACUUCAUUUCUAUAAAUCAAAUCCGUAAAAUUCAUUAUUAAAUCACACCCAACAAUUUUGAGACCUUGAGAAUUUUUUUAUAAACUUUUGAAACUUGCAUGUUAAAUAGUUGUUCCAUCGUGUGGGAGACGGUCAAAGUGGUAAAGGCAAGGAGCAAGCUUGUGCUUGUGACAGCAACUUGGGGAAGAUGUCGGUAUGUUUCCUUGAAAUUUACACACUUACUCGUUUACUUAAUUGUCAGGUUGAAGUAAACUAGUUGGUGACUUCAAUUAAGUUGUCAAUAAAACAUGGUACUGUGUUUUUUGGUAAAAUAAGAUACAGUUUAAAUAUAGUUUGAGGGUUAUUUUUGUAUUUAAACCAAAAAAAAAAAGAUUUUACCUUGUCAUCAGCAAAUUUGAUACAAAACAGGGCAACGGCUCUCUCAUGGGGAUCACCCGGCAGCAAGGGAUUUUGCGGCCAAAUUUCAUCGAUAUAUCGAAGGAUGACGGUGGAUUCGCAGAUGGGUUUGUCGUCGUGAAGGAGUACCGGGAUCUUCUUAUGAAUUGGAUUAUAUUGAAGAAGCAAAGGACUCUUGUUGAAGAGAUCUUGUUCGAUGUAUUCGUAAGCCAUGCCUUUGAGUUUCAGAGCCCAAAUUACUCAGUAACAGUACGGACUAGGCCUAGCUCCGAACAGUUUCACGACCGCCAUGGUUGGGAGAUUAGUCGAUUUUCUGGUAGAUUCUGAGAGCGGUGAGUGUAAAUUUAUAAUAGGAUUAGCAGUCAAAGCUUUCAGUAAGGUAAAGAUGAAGUGUAAAUACAAGGAAUUAAAGAAAGUAUAUAGAAAUAAUUUUAUAUAAUAAUACAAGCUAUUAUCAUGCAUGAUGCAAUAUAAAGUAAUUUAAGAUGGAUGCCACUUGUCUCACCCCCAAUAUGUUACGUACAGUUAGAAAGAUAAAAUUCGAAGUUAAAAUUAAAUAUAUUAAAGAAUUUAUUAGCUUUGAAUUUCAUAUGAUGGUUUAGUUAAAAGUAUUCAUCACCCUAAGUGUGGGAUAGAGUUCGAGUCUCGUUUGUUGUUUGAAUUUUACUUUAUUAUUAUAAUUCACAAAAAAAAAAGAAGAAUAUAUCAACUUUCAAUGGAUUAUAUUUUGAAAACUUCUCGAAAAUAAAUUAGACCUCUCCUCAACAAAUUUAAAUAUAAAAAAGUAACUUCGAGUAAAAAGCAUAAAUACAUGUAAUUUUUUCAAAAAUAUAUAUAAUGCAAUGCCGCAUAUAGAGACAAUAAAAUAUUUUUUAUUUGGAAUAUUUUGAAUACUAUUUGGAAGUAAAUUGAAAACAAUUUGUUAAGUGAUCAAUUUGAUAAAAACUGAAGCAAGGAUUAAAUUGUAAAAUUUGUAAAAUUCUAAAUGUUAAAUGUUGAUUACUGAAAUCUAAAAAUUUAGUGUUGUACUAAAUUAUAUGAUUAUGAAAUAUGAAAAUUGAACGAUUGGGCAUAAAAUAGUAAAGUUUGAAAUUAUAGGGAUUAAAUUGUAAAGAUUCCAAAACACGAGUUUUAGAACUAAUUUAUGUGGGUUGAGAAUUUACAAUUCUAAAAAUAGAAUAUGAAAGUUUAAUGGUUCAAAAAUCCUGGACUAAUUUGUGGAAAAUUUGACAAGAUUUUAAUAGUAGGAAUUAAAUUAUAAAAUCUCAAAAUUUUGAAAAAAGAAAAAGAAAAAGAAGAGAGAGACUGUUUUGCAAAACUAGGCAAACUGGGAUUUAAGGCUGAAUUGAAAACAAAAUGACUUCCAGGGACUAAAUCGUAAAAUAGUGUAAAUUUAGGAGUUUGGGACUAAAUCGUAAAAAUUGUGUAACUAUAAUUUUAAGGGUUGUCUAGUAAAUUUGGAAAAAUAUAGGAGUGGAAAUGAGCAGAUUUGUUACAUAAGUGUUUAAAUGUAAUAUUUGAAAAUUUUACUAAAUUAAGUGUAUUAAACUAAAAUAAUUGAGUAAAAAAAAUGAAACUUGAAUUAUUAUAGAUUAGAUACAUUAAAGUGAAGAGAAUUAUAUUAUGAAGUAUAUCUUACAAAGAAUAUGGCUAAGGUUAUGGCGACAAGACUCACUGAGGUCUAAGUAUUUGAGGAUCAACCUUAUUCUGUGCAAUAUUUAGUACAAACAGACUAUAUUAGUGUUACAUGGGCUAAUGUGUUAUCUUAAUAGUGUCGUGUAAAGCUGUUUAUUUUACCAAAAGAAAAAUAGGAAAGGCAAAGUGUAGUUAGUAUUAGUACAUUUUGAGAAAGGAUUAAAUUUUGAAAUUCAUUAAAUUAAAUAUAUAAUUAAAAAUUAUAUUGCAAUAGGUAUGAGGUUCUGGUACAUGUGUUUCAAAGUUUCAAUACAUGAAUACUUCAAAGCUAAAAAUGAUUAGUAAUCUUGUAUUGGUUUUGAUACUAUGGAUGAGGUACUGAUGUCUUUGUUCUUAAAAUCGUAAAUUCGCCUGAAAAUACCCUGGAAAAAGGAUUUUGGUUUCUCUAAUUAAAAUUUUAAUAAUAUACAAUUUUAGAAAUAGAUUUAAUAUCAUAUGGAGUCUAGAUGACGUUAGAAAAGUAAGCAAGGGUUAGGGAUUGAAACUGAAAAUUUUAAUGUGACAUUCCUUGUCUGUAUCUUUUAACGAGUCAGGUAAGGGUUGUUAGAUCAUCGGAACAUUCGAAGUAUAGCAUGCAUUCCAUACCUCAUCAGUAUAAUCUUGUACACUAAUCUUAUAGCAUGCCAAAUAUACCCGAGUCAAUUACUAAGGUAACAAUAUUCCAAAAACAUAUUUAUAUUCAUGAUCUUUUACCAUAGUUUCAUAUAAUACUCAUUUAUGCCAUGCUCGUCUCAAUUAAAUUCAUAACAUUUCAUAUCAUUAUCUACAAACCAAAUCAUGAGACAUACUUACCUCAAGCAAGUUAGUUUUUAACCGUAUAUAUAUAUUGAAUUCAAAUCAUGAAAGUAAAAAUCGCAUUAGCUACUCGUCUACGACUUUCGCCUUUUCUUUCUCUCGAGACGGCUCGAUGUCGUCUUUAGCUAUGUUUGAUAAUUUAAUUAUAAAAAUAGUAUUAGUUUCACUCAAACUCAUGAAAAAUAUAUAAUCAAAUAUAUUUCCAUUUUAUUCAUUUUAGUCCUUAUAUCCAAAAUGUUCUUAUUUUUCGAUACUUAACAUAAAAGCAAAAUCUGAUUUCAUAUCCUUCCAUUAGUGACCUUGUAUUUUUAAUCUAUACCAUAAGUUUACAAUAGCUUUCGCUUUAUUCAAUUUUACCCCUAAUUUCACAAAAUUAUCUUUUAAGCUGAACUUAAUUUCCAAAUCCUUAACAUAAUCUAAACUUACUAAUUAACAAUCUCUUCAAAUUCAAGCUUAAAAUCAUCAAUUAAACUUUAAUGGAAACUUUCUGAACAUCUAACAAUUGAAGAAAAUAAUACAUGUGUUAGCUAAAUCAAACUCCCGUGGUUCAAACUUUAUAAAAAUCUUAAGGAAAGAACUUAAUUCCGGCGAUUAAUUUUGGAUUAAAAUGGAAAAGAAAACAAAGAUGUUUUUCCUUCUUCUUUUCAGCUUUGGACAGCCAAACAAAAUGAGGAAGAUGAUAACUUCAUUUUUCUCUCCACUCUCUUAGUAUUUAUACUAUGAUUAAGCCCUUAAUUAGCUUAAUUAAUCACCAUUAGUGGUCAAGCUAAUUAAGAUAAGUGGAUGUAAUCAUACCGUUCCACCAUCAUAUUUUAAAAAUUGUAAAUUAAUUCCAAGGUCCUCAAAUUAAUUAUUAAUUAAGUCCUCAAUCAUUUUUCUAAAUUAAAAUUUCAAUAGCGGUUGAACUUUUACAAAUUAGUCCCUGAACUUUAAUUAAUGAUUUUCUUGAUUAAAUUACUUAACCAUUCUUUAAUAUAUUUUCAUACUAACUUCAUAAACCUUUCUAUUCAUGAUUCCACUAACUCAAUUUACGGAAUUGGAUUUUAAAAUUGUAUUUUUUUUGACAAUGUUUAAAAUCAGGUCAUUACAAGUUAAUUAAAAGAAUAAAUAAUAUUUUGGGCAUAUGAAAGAUAUUUAUUGGGCUAAACAAACAUAUGAGUUAGUUUAAAGACAAGAUAACACAUAUAAUAGACUUAAUAAAUGAAAAAGCCCGAUAUAGGAGGAGGGGUGGCAAACUAGUAUGGACCCAUUGAAAUUUUUUUAUUUUGAUUUUGAUAAUUUAUUUAAACAAACUGAUCGAAAUUAUUGGACAAACAAAGCAGUGACUUGAUCAGUUCAAAGUUUGAAAACCUUCGAUAAAGAACUCAAGUUUCCAAACCCUAAUUCGAUUUUGAUGUCAACAUCAUCUCUCUACCACGCUUCAAGAAAGUAGACAUCUUAUCGGCAUCAGGCAAGUUGUCUUUGAUUAUAGGACUUGAUUUGAAAUUUUGGAUCCACGAGCUCACUCGAGGAAACUUGUGUGGCUUAAAGAUUUCAAGCCCUAGUACGUCUUCGAGAAUCCCAAGCCAGUGAGCAACAAAGGAAAAUGCAAUGUCCACCAUGUUUAUCUCGUCUCCGCCGAAGAACUUUUUCACUCCAAUCAGCGCAUGUUCUUCCAUGACUUCCAACAUUUCCAACCACUCCUUCACUGCCGCCUGUUGUUCUUCGCCAUCGCCUCGAUAAAGCUUUGACAUUAAAAGACCCUGUUUUAAACAGAGAUAUGAGAUUUCUAGUAUCAGCCAUCAAAAGUUAUGUACGAUAAAAGAUUUUCAAAGAUUUCAACUAGGUUAAAAUAUGCUACAAAUCCUUGUAUCCUUUGUAUGUUUAAAAUUUAGUCCUCCUAGCUAUUUUUGUUUUAAGAAAUUUAAUCCCAUUACUUUUAAAUUUAAAAAGGGUUAAAUCACUUCACGGGGUUUGAACCUAGCAACUACUCCCACAUUAGGGCAUGAACUUUUUUUUGGUUCAAAUUAGUCCUUAAACGUGACAAUGAUUCUCACGGUAUGGCCUGAUAAAAGCUACUUAUAACUUAAUAAAGAAUAUAUUUAAUUAACUCAAUUUUAAUUAAUUUAUUUUAAUAUUAUGUUUUCCUAUAAAAACCUUAUGUUUAAAAUUUUAAUUACGGUUUAGAAUAAGGUAAAAUGUUUAAAAUUAAGAAUAAAAUGUAAAAUAUAAUUUUUUAUAAUUCAAAAUUUAUAUUUAUCAAACAAUAUAAUUAUAUUCCGUAAUUAAUUUUAAGUAAUGUAUCAAACAAAAUUUUAUAACUUAAAUUCGGUACUUAAAAUUUCAAUACUCAAUUUUUCAACCCUUAUUUUUUCUGCACUUAAUCUUUUAGUUUAUCAAAGAACACCUUAGCCCCUAUGUUUUCUUGAAAACCCUUAUAUCCAAGCCCCAACAUAGGAACAAUUGCCUAGCCCAAGCACUAACAUGAGAACAAUUACCACGUUUAUGGACUAACUUGGAUAAAAAAGAGUUCAAGUCCCAAUGUGGGAACAAUUACCUAAUUCAAGCCUUAACAUGUGAUCCAAUGUGAGAAUUGUUACCAAGUUCAGGCCUCAAAUAAUGAUUUAACCCAUUUAAAAAUGUAAAUAUAAUCGUAAACAUGAAUUUUUUUGGUUAAAUUAAAGUUCAUACCUCAUUUUUUUUGUUAUAUGACUACCAAAUGAAUAACUAAUUUUUUUAUUUCAAAAUAUCACACAAAAAAAUUUUAAUAAAAAAAUUAACUGUGUUAACAAUUGAGUUCGGGUUUAGAGUGAAAAAUUACCAAUUUUAUAUGUCAAUGACAUGAAAAAAAUUACUGAAAUAUCAUUAAAUAAUUGGAAAUAGACAAUGGAUGAUGUAGUGGGAAGGGUUCAUAAAAUAGUUUCUCCCAAUACAACACUUAAUAAAUAGUUUUGGCUAUAAAUAUUGAUAAAUAAAUAUAAAUAUAAAAAAAUCAAUAAACGCGAAAAUCGUCAUAUGGAUCAAAUAAAUAAAUAAAUAAAAGGUUUAAUUGCAAAAUUAGUGUCUAAACUAUAUCAAUUUUCUCAUUUUAAGUACCCAAAAUUUUCGGUAAAAAUAUACUUAAACUAUUAAUUUUGUUACAUUUUACCUAAAAAGUGCAAGAUGGCAAUAAAACAUGCUACUGUAUUUUUGGCAAAAUAAGACAAAAUUAACCAUUUAAAAAUCAUUUUGCAAAGAAGAGAAAACAAACAUAACUGUUAGACACCUAAAUGAGAAAUACGAUAUAGUUGGAGGGUUAAUGUUGUAUUUAAUCCAAAAAAGAAAAGAACAGAUUUUACCUUGUCAUCUGCAAAUUUGAUCCAAAACAGAGCAGCAGCUCUGUCAUAGGGAUCAGCCGGCAGCAAAGGAUUCUGCGGCCAAAUUUCAUCGAUAUAUUGAAGGAUAACGGUGGAUUCACAGAUCGGUUUUCCACCAUGAACGAGCACCGGGACUUGCUUAUGAAUUGGAUUAUAUUGAAGAAGCGAAGGACUCUUGUUGAGGAGAUCUUCUUCAAUAUAUUCGUACAGUAUGCCUUUGAGUUUUAGAGCCCAAAUUACUCUGUAACCGUACGGACUAAACCAAGUUCCGAGCAAUUUUACGACCGCCAUGAUUGGGAGGUUAGUUCAGAGAUUCUGAGAGCGCUGAGUGCAAAUUUAUAAUAGGAUUACUGGUCAAAGAUUUGUCUAAAAAUUUCAUGAUAUAAAAAAAGAGAAAUUGACAAAAAUUGUAGGCCCUAAAAGUUGGAAUCUGUCACUAAGACUUUUAUACGAAGAUGAAGUAUUAUAAAAGAUUUUUAUAUAAUAAUAUAAGGUAAUGUCAUGCAUGAUGCAAUAUAAGGUAAGGUAGUCCAACCGAACAAUCCAAUCCUAUUUAAACACAAGUAAAAACCCCAUAUAUAAUUUUAAACCCAUAUAUAAUUGAAUAUAUAUGUUUUCUUUUAUAAUUAAGGUAUCAUAUAUAUUUAUUUUAUCCGUGUGUUGAUUUGAUGAUCAGGGUGUUCAUCGUCUCAGAUGUGAUUUGGUUUCAAGUCACGCUAAUCGCGUUGCUGUUAGGACUUUACUCUCCUCUUAUAAUUCACUGAAAAGGAUAAUUUAUCUUUGACGUUUUAGCAAGCGUGUCAUCAUGUCUAGGGAGCAUUUGACUAUAAAAUCAAACCGUGCUAAUGUGUCGAUAUGUAAAAAGUGAAAAAUAUUUUAGAGUUGUUUUAGAACUAACUACUACUUAAAUUAAUCGAAAAUUCUAUUUUAUUAUAUAUUAUAUGUGUAUGUAUGCUAACAUAUAUAAUAAACAAAAAUAAAAUAAGAUGACUUCUUUUUUCAUGUUUCCUACUCGUUGAAUUCUGUAAUAAUUCUGUAACAUAUCCAAAAUGAGUUCUGUUGUUUUCAUAAUAUAUUUUGUCUGACAUAUGAAGAAAUGAUUGUCUAAAAUGGCUGCUGUUUCCAGAACUUUUUAUAUCUGACAUUUAAGAAAUGGUUGUCCAAAACGGCCGUUGUUUUCAUAAUUUAUUAUGUCCGACAUAUGAAGAAAUUGUUGCCUAAAAUGGCUGUUGUUGGGUUAUGGUUGUCGACACCAUUUUUUGAUAAAACGGAGUUGACUUGGAUAUUAAAAAUGAAAACGAAUAUAGAAGUUGUCACCAAUCUUUUUUGAUGAUGUGUGAUCGGGUCAAUUCAAAAAGUGGUUGUUUUUAAUAAACCAUUCGGUUUUAUUAAAACAACGAUUUUGGUUCAUGAAAUUCAGAAAAAUGGGUUCGGAAGUCGGUUACGUACGAGGAAGGAUUAGCACCCUCGUAACGCCCAAAAAUUGGUACCUAGUUGAUUAAUUAGUGUUGUCCAAAAUGACUGUUGUUUUCAGAAAUGAUUGUCUAAAAUGGCUGCUGUUUCCAGAACUUAUUACGUCUGACAUUUAAGAAAUGGUUGUCCAAAACGAACGUUGUUUUCAUAAUUUAUUAUGUCUAACAUAUGAAGAAAUGGUUGUCUAAAAUGUAUGUGGUUUUCAUAAUUCAUUUCUUUCUUGAAUGGUUGGUUGUAUUCUUAUGUUGGUAAGUGAAGUGAAUAAAAUUCGAUUUAAUUUUAAAAAUUUGAUAAAAAUUUUAAAAUUUAAAUUAAAUAGUUUGAAUUAUUCGAGUUAUUUGGAUCAACUCGAAUAAAAAAUUAUUAUUUUUGGUUUAAUUCGAAUAUGAACUCGAAUAUGAAUUACAAUAUUUGAGUUAUCUGAAAAUCUAAAUAAAAAAUACAAAAUUACGUCGUUUUGAUAAAUAUUUACUUUCUCUAAAGUUAAAAGGCAAAAUUACGUUGUUUUGCUAAAUAUUUACUCAUCAGCCUUAUUUUCUUUCUCGAAUCCCCCCACUUUCCCUUUUUUCUUUACUCAAAAUUAACCUAAAAGUUUGUAAUUCGUCUACUACUUAAAUAAUUAGUCUAUGUAAAUGCAAUAUUGAAUAUAAAUAAUAGGAUUCGUUAACUCAACUCAACUUGGCUCGAAAUUUUUUUACUCGAUUCAACUCAAUUUUAAAAAAAUACAAAUUGAAUUCGGUUUCUAAAAUAGUAUUCAUCAAUUUGACUAACUUAAUUUUUUUUUCACCCCGGCAAGUGUGAUGAAAAUUGAGGGGAAAUUGAGGGAAAAGUUUUGAUGGUUGUCAGUUGUUGAGUGAGCUGUCGUGACAUGCAAAACCCAUGCAUGUUGUCCUAAUAUGACUUAUUGUUAUGAAAAUAAUGUCCUGCUGGAGUUGAUUAAAUAUUAAUGUCCUAUGCUGCAAUUAAAAGAUAUCAUAGUGCUGUAUCAUAUUUAAAAUGUAAGUAUUUAUGUUGUCUUAAAACAUUAUCUGUAUGGAUUAAUUACUGUAAUUUAAACCGUCUUAAUAAUGAAAUUGUGAUAUCUUAAAGCAGUAAAUUGUGGUUAAAAUGUAUAAAUCUGGGAGUAAAUCGAGUUUUAUUUGUGGAAUGACAUGUUGUAACAACCCAAUUUUGGGUCUAGUCGGAACAGUGGUUUCGGGACCACAAAUCCGACGAGGAAAAAUGUAAUUGCCUGAAUUUUCAGGGGUGUCAGAACAGUGAUUCGAGAUCACUAAAUCCGACAACUGAGUAGAAAAUAUUAUUAAUUUAGUGAGUAUAAGUUAAAUGUGAAGUUAAGAAAAUUUUUGAAAUAGUGAAUAGUGCACUAGAAAUAAAUAUUAAAAUAGUUAGAAUAAAAAACGAGGUAUCGAGACCUCAAAGAUUUUAAACCGAGCCAUAAAUAUUUUUAUAAAUAUUUAUGGAGUGUUAAAAAGUUAGUAUUAAAGUUUCAAUAAUUAAUUGAACAAAAAGGACUAAAUUGUAACAAAUGCAAAAUUCUGGGAAAUGAUUAAAUAGCUUAAAUGAUAAAAGGAAGAGGACUUAAAAGGAAAAUAGACCCAAUGUCUAUUUGGGCUGGACGGCAAAGGCAUGAAAUCAGCAAGAAAGUAAGGAGAAUUAAGGGCAAAAUUGGAAUAUUGUAAAAUUACUUAAUAAAGCUAGGAUCAAAGUGGAAUUAUCUAGAUUUCUCUUUAUUUUUCUGCAUUCUAAUCAGCUAAAACACCAUAGAAGGGUUUCCUUAAGAUGGUGCUUCAUAUUUUUACUGCAAGUAAGUUCAAUUCUUGAUUAUUUCUUGAAAUUGUUGUGCUUUUGUGACUUUUACAACUAGGCCCACUUGUUGAAUUCAUUAGUUUUUGAUUCUAUGAAAGAAGUUGAAAGUUGCUAUGAAUAUGUGCUGGAAGUAUAUGAUGAUUUAGCAUGGAAUUAGAGCUUUAAAUUGUUUAUAUGCUAAUUUUAUUGAAAGAAAUGAAUAGAAAGUCAAUGUUUGGGACCUAAUAGUAAAAGAGUUUGAAGUUAGGGUUUUAUGAGGAAAUUUUGAAUUUCAAUAGUUAUGAAUAACUUAUAAGGUCUAGGUAAAGUACUAAUUGAGAAAAAUUACCUUAAUUGAGGGGUUAAUUGAGCAAGGACUGAAUUGUAUGAACUGUGAAAUUUAGGGCAAAAUAGAAAUUAACAUUUUGCACUAAAACAGUUUUGGAUAGCAACAGUAGUUUAAAUUUCAAAAAUCACCAAAAAUUAUGGGAAUCGAAUUAGAGAAUGAAUAAAACAUGAAAUUAAAGCUUAUUGAGUCUAGUUUCUCAUAGAAGAAACGGUGUAAGCAAUAGAAUUGUAAAUUAUGAGAUAUAAUAAAUUUUGUGAUACAAGGUCAGAAAGAUUUCGGGUUCCCCUGUUCUGACUUUGGAAAAUCAUCAAAAAUUGAAUAAAAAUAAUUAGGGGCUUAAAUUUAUAUAUUUAAAAUCAUGAAUAAGUCUAUUUUCAAGAGAAACAAAUAGAAACAUCAUUCAAGUCUCGUACAAGGAGAUAAUUAAUUUUUAGUGAAGAAGGAUCGAAAUUGUUUAAUAGUGAAAUAGGAGAGACUUUAAAGGCUAAGCCAAAAAUUCUAAAAAUUUUAUGUUAAAAAGAUAUAUGAGUCUAGUUUCCGGAAAAAUUAACAGAUCUUAAUUUAAAGCUUCGUAACUCGAGAUAUAAAUAAUUUAGUGACUCUAACUCGGAUAGACAGCUUUGAAUUUACUUAUAAGUAAAUAGUGAAAAUAUAGUUAAUGUUAUUAAGCAUGUUAUAUACAUUAAGGAUGUGGAAUGAAAAGGAGGAGGAGGAAAAUUAGAAAAUAUAUGAAUGACUUGUGCAUAAAUCGGUCAUAUAUUCGAUCAUAAUCGAUAAAUGUUGAAUUAGAAACGAUGUAAUGUUUUAUUUCAAAUAGUUACUGUGAGAUUGAUGAUAUCUGAUUUUAGCUAAAUUAAAAGCUAAAGCGAUGUUUUCAUUGAAAAAUUAAGAAUUUCAUAAAUGUGUUAAUGAAUGGCAUAAUCGAUAAACGUUGAGUUAAAUGGUAAAUACGUAUUAGUAUUGAACUUAAUGAUAUUGAAUUGUAUGAGAAGUAAAUGGAAAUUUCUAUUGCUAGUGAUAUGAUUUGAAUUAAAAAAAUUAUUGCGAUAUUGAAAUGUAUAUUGGAUUGAGAAAUUGAUUUGAAUUGUGAACAUGAUAAAUUAUGAAUUGAAUGAAAUGGAAAUGAAGCAUUGAAUUGUUAAGACUUGUGAAUUGCAUGAAUAUAAAUCGAAUCCCGUAGGCCCUAUUUAUUAUGAAUAUAAUAUUUAGAGGAUAUAUUGUGAAGAAUUAUAAAAGCAUGUUAAAAUUUUGAAAGUUUUAAUUUAGAAGAAAUUUUAUAAUAUGAUUAAAUAAGUUUACAAAGAUGGAGUAUUAUGAAAGAUUUUAUAUAGUAAUAUAAGGUAAUGUCAUGCAUGAUGCAAUAUAAGGUAAGGUAGUGUCAUGCAUGAUGCAUCUUUAUUAAUUUUUUUUUAAUUUGAAUAAAUGUUUUUAGAAAUAAAUUAGUGGUUGGUUGAAUUGAUUAGGCCAUUAGUUUGUCGAUUUGAUAAGUUCGAUAAAGAUAUAAUAAUAAAUUCAUAAAAAAGAAUAUUUAAGAAAUCUAGUUCAACUGUCAAUUUAAUUGAUUUUUUAACUGGUUCAAUCGAUUUGAUGUUUUUUUCGAAUCUAUAUUUCGACCUGUUUCUAGUCCAACCGAACAAUCCAAUCCUAUUUAAACACAAGUAAAAACCCCAUAUAUAAUUGAAUAUAUAUGUUUUUUUAUAAUUAAGGUAUCAUAUAUAUUUAUUUUACCCGUGUGUUGAUUUGAUGAUCAGGGUGUUCAUCGUCUCAGAUAUGAUUUGGUUUCAAGUCACGCUAAUCGCGUUGCUGCUAGGACUUUACUCUCCUCUUAUAAUUCACUAAAAAAGAUAAUUUAUCUUUGACGUUUUAGCAAACGUGUCAUCAUGUCUAGGGAACAUUUGACCAUAAAAUCAAACCGUGUUGAUAUGUAAUAAGUGAAAAAUAUUUUAGAAUUGUUUUAGAACUAACUACUAAAAUUAUGCGAAAAUUCUAUUUUAUUAUAUAUUAUAUGUGUAUGUACGCUAACAAAUAUAAUAAACAAAAAUAAAAUAAAAUAAGAUGACUUCUUUUUUCAUGUUUCUUACUCGUUGAAUUAUGUAAUAAUUCAGUUUUUUGUAGUGCCGGAAAGUGAAAUAUCGACACUUUAUUUUCGUAAAUCAAAUUCGUAAAAAUUAUUAUUAAAUCACACCCAACAAUUUUGAGACCUUGAGAAUUUUUUUUUGAACUUUUGAAAUUUGCAUGUUAAAUAGUUGUUUCUUCAUGUGGGAGACGGUCAAAGUGGUAAAGGCAAGGAGCAAGGUUGUGCUUGUGACGGCAACUUGGGGAAGAUUUGGGUAAGUUUCCUUGAAAUUUACAGACUUAAUUGCCAGGUUGAAGUAAGCUAGUUGGUGACUUCAAUUAAGUUGUCUGAAUUUUAUGAAUAAACUGUGAAUUAGCUGCUGUUGAUUUUCGGUAUGUAGCAAAUCAAACGUGUUGGAAAUUUGAAGAAAUGGUUGUCCAAAAGGACUGUUGUUUUCAUAAUAUAUUUUGUCUGACAUAUGAAGAAAUGAUUGUCUAAAAUGGCUGCUGUUUCCAGAACUUAUUAUGUCUGACAUUUAAGAAAUGGUUGUCCAAAACGACUUCGUAAUUUAUUAUUUCUGACAUAUGAAGAAAUGGUUGUCUAAAAUGGCUGUUGUUCGGUUAUGGUGCGGGUUUAAUUCAUUUCUUUCUUGAAUGGUUGGUUGUAUUCUUAUUUUGGUAAGUAGGUGAAUAAAAUUUGAUUCGACUUUAAAAAUUUAAUAAAAAAUUUAAAAUUUAAAUUAAAUAGUUCGAAUUAAUCGAGUUAUUUGGAUCAACUCGAAUAAAAAAUCAAAUUUUUUGGUUUAAUUCGAAUAUGAACUCGAAUAUGAAUUACACAAUUCGAAUUAUUUGAAAAUCUAAAUAAAAAAUACAAAAUUACAUCAUUUUGAUAAAUAUUUACUUCGUCUAAAGUUAAAAGGCAAAAUUAAGUUGUUUUAAUAAAUAUUUACCCAUCAGCCUUAUUUUCUUUCUCGAAUCCCCCCACUUUCCCUUUUUUCUUUACUAAAAAUUAACCUAAAAGUUUAUAAUUCGUCUACUAGUUAAAUAAUCAGUCUAUGUAAACGCAAUAUUGAAUAUAAAUAAUAAGAUUCGUUAACUCGACUCAACUUGACUCGAAAUUUUUUUACUCGAUUCGACAAAAUUUAAAAAAAUACAAAUUAAACUCGGUUGCUAAAAUAAUGCCCACCUCUACUGGUAAGUGUGAUGAAAAUUGAGAGAAAAGUUUUGAUGAUUGUUGUAAUACCCAAUUUUGCCCCGGGCCUGUUAAAAUAAUACAAAAACCAAAAUAUAAAUAAAGUCCAAAUAUUAGACAGUCCAUUGACAUAGUCCAAUUAAUUACACCAGCCCAUAUAGCCCAAUAACCAAAAAAAAGCCCAAAGCUUCGACCCAAAUACAAUUGUUAACCCAAUUCCAGAAACCAUCCCGCCUUCCUCGCACGCCGCCAGCAGCCUCUCACCAUAGCCACCCGCGUGCGUGCGCCCCUAGUUGUACCUGCAACUAGGGGGUGUGCAAAAUUCGUGUAAAAUCGAAAAAAAUUCAGUUAACCGACUGAAUUCGAUUAAUUGGUCGGUUAACCGAAUUUUUUUGGUCGAGGGUCGGUUAAUUAUUUUUUAAUUUUUUGGUUAACGGUUAAUUCGGUUCGAAACUAGUCGAUUAACCGAAUUUUUUCGGUUUAAGUAAAAAAAUUAAUAAAUAAAAUUAUAAUAUAUAAAUAGGCCCACUAUUCACCUAAACCCAAUCCAAACCCAAGUAUUCAAUCCAACCCAAUUACCCAACUCAACCCAAUCAUAAAAAUUACAAAUAAUUUAAUAAAUAAAAAUAAAAUUCUAAAACUAAAACUAAAACUAAAGUCUAAAAGUCUAAAUAUAAUUUAAUUAUGUAGUGAUUCAAUUCGGUUAAUUCUGGUAAUUCGGUUAAUUUUUAACCAAAAAUAAAAAACAUAUAAUUUUCGGUUAAUUCAGAUAACCGACCGAAUUAACUGAAAAAUUUCGGUUCGGUUAAUUUUUUUGAAAAAUUUUCGGUUCGGUUAACGGUUAAAAAUUUUGAAAGGUCGAUUAAUUCGGUUAAUAUUAUUUCGGGUCGGUUAACCGAACAAACACCCCUACCUGCAACAGCAAACAGCAAACAAUACCAACAAAGCAGUAACAGCAAAAUAGAAUAACAGAAAAGGGAAUAAUAGAAUAUAGGAAAUGUAUUUCUUUGUUUAUUUUUAUUUUAUUAUUAUUUUUCUAUUUCAUUUUUCGGCUAUAAAAGAGCCGAUUCAAGCACUGUAAAAGGAGACGCAUUCAAAGAAAAAGAAACAGAAUCAUCAAAAAAAGAAGAAUAGAGUUUUUUUUUUUCUGAAGGUUUUUUUUUUCGAUUUCAAUUUAUUUUCCUUGUUUCAUUUGAUUGGCUUUGAUUAUAAGCUAAAAGAGGAAGAGAAGAAGCGUCUUACCAGAGCGGGCGCCAUUGGAACCUGGUUUGCUCCGUCUGAAUCAGAGUCAAAUCGGGUUCGUGACUGGAGACCGACGGGGAGAAAGGCUAGGUUGUUGGUAUGUUUUAGGAUAGCAAAACAACUUAUCAAGGUUUUAGUUUUUAGUUUUUUAAAGAUAAUAAAACAGUGCCGUUUAAGCCUGAUUUGAUGGCUUCAAAACGACACCGUGUUGACUAACACCCGAUGACCCGACCCGAACGAGGUGGGAUCCGCGCGUUUUGAGUCUGUUGGGAUUUUUGCGCAUCAGAUCCCUCUGUUUUGCGUUUUGGUUCAAUCUAAUCCUUUUGUUUUUUUAAUUUUGGCCACCUAUUUCUUUGUAAAUGCCAUUUGGUCCGCGAUGAAACGCCACGUUUUGGGGGAUGGGAUAUUUUCUCGUUUAAUCCCUAUGUAAUUCACGCAUUUUUCUUUGGCCCUCACUGAUAUAGUAUUUUCAUUUUUCUCUCUUAAUUUUGUAUUAAAUACAUUUUAGCCCACAUUUGUUUAGUCUAAAAAUGUAUUAAUUAUUUAAAUUUGUUAUGGAUUAUUAUUUUAAGUUAGUCAUGUAUAUUUUAAUUUAUUAUGAAUAUUUUAAAUGUAUCAUACAUCAUUAUUUUUAAAUCUAUUAUGUAUGCAUAUUUUAAUUGUAUUAUGUAUAAUUAUUUUAAAAUUCAUAUUUAUAUUAUUAUUUUCUUAAUGUUAUUAUAGUAUCAUAAGUUUAGCAUGUACCAUUAUUUUAAGUUUUUAUAUUACUAUUUACUUUAGUCAUGAAUAUUUUUUUGUAUUUUAAUUCAAUAAAAUCUAUACCAAAUUGAUUUCAUUUUUAGUUCUUUCAUAUACUUUUAUCUUUAAAUUUGUAUGGUAACAUUCUAUAAUGUAAUUUCAUAUAUAUAUACAUACAAUUUAUAUUAAAUUAUUAUUUUUGUAUACAUAUAUAUAGUAUAUUAUUUAAUUUUGGAACUGUAUAUUUCUAUAUAUACAUAGAUAUUUUAUUUCUUCCUAAUAUAUUUAGUUUAUUUCACAUUUUUGUAUAUUUGUAUAUUAUCACUUGCAUGAAAUUCCAAACCCUAUGUAUUAUUUAUUUAAAAAUUAAUAUAUAUUUUUUUAUGCUUUAUUUUUCCCUUGUGUAAAAUUUGCUUCAAAAUUCAUCUAAACACCAUUAGUUAAUGUUUUUUGCAAAUUUGUUUUAAACUUAUGUAUAUGUUUUUAAUUUUUGAAUGUAUAUUGAUUGCAAUUUGUUCUUUUGUACAUUUAGCAAAUAAAUUGACAAUUCAUUUGGUUUUGGAAUAUUGAUUUUAUUAGCGUUCGCAUAAUAUGUGAUUGUGAUUAUUGUUGCUAUGUGAAUUAUUGGGUUUGUCUUUAUUUACUGUUUAUUUGAUUAGUGUAAGUUUAUUUACAAAUUGUCUUUUUUUUUUUUGGCGUUGUACAUAAACAUUAAAUUAUACUACAUUUGUUUUAAAAAUUGUGUUUCAUUAGAGCACUAAAAUCAUUCUAUUCCGUGAAUUUUAAAAAAUGCUCGGUGUUCACGAUUCUCGAGAGGAUUGUGCCCUAACUUACUGGGCUUCAAUUCUUUUCUAUGAAUUUAGAUAGCCAAGUAUUUAUUUUGCAAUAAAACCAUACAAUUUCAAAAUAAAGUUUUUCUGGGAUUUCAAAAUGUUGAAUCCUAACUCAUUGGAUAUGACAUUUUGCUACCUCGAAUUAAGGAUUUUUAAAAUAAAGGCAAUAUUCGGUGUUUAGGAAUUUCGAGAAAUUGAAUCCUAACUUACUGGGUUCUGAUUUUUUUCGUUUGACCCAAAUAGCCAAAUAUCCUUCUCAAAAUGCACAAGUUUUUAAAGUUAAAAAGAUAAACUUAAUUUUGAAGAUUAAAAAUGUUGCAUUCUAACUCACUGAGUGUGACAAUUUAUUUCUUUGAAAUGAGUGUGUCUUAUCAUUCAAUUCGUUUUAUUCAAAUUUUCUUUUCAAAGGAUCGUAUUUUAAAAUCUUUUUAAAUUUUCAACACUAAGAUAUCAAAUAAUCAAUUCGGUACCAAUUUUGGGCGUUACGAGGGUGCUAACCCUUCCCCAUGCGUAACCAACUCCCAAACCUGUUUUCUCAAAUUUCGAAGACCAAAAUCGUUUUUAAUGUGAGCUGAUCACACCUCAAUAAAGGAUUGGUGGCGACUCCAAUUUUCGUUUCUAAGUCAACAACUAAAUUUUGUUUUCAAAAAGUGGUUUUGACAAUUGUCAGUUGUUGAGUGAGCUGUCGUGACAUGCAAAACCCAUGCAUGUAGUCCGAAUAAGACUUACUGUUAUGAAAAUAAUGUCCUGCUGGAGUUGAUUAAAUAUGAAUGUCCUAUGCUGCAAUUAAAAGAUGUCAUAGUGUUGUAUCGUGUUUAAAAUGUGAGUAUUUAUGUUGUCUUAAAACAUUAUCUGUGUGGAUUAAUUACUGUAAUUUAAACCGUCUUAAUAAUGAAAUUGUGAUAUCUUAAAGCAGUAAAUUGUGGUUAAAAUGUAUAACUCUGGGAGUAAAUCGAGUUUUAUUUGUGGAAUGACAUGUUAUUUUAGAAGUACAAAUUGAGUGUCGCUAAUGGUGAGUUCUUUCAGUUUUUAUCGAUUUAUGUGUAAUGUUUAAUUCAAUUUUUGAGUUUACAGGUCGGGAAUUUGAAGAUGAUUAUGUGACAACCAGUUGAUAUGAUUACAAAUGUGAUAUGAAAAGAUUAUAUUCAUAAUAUAAGUUGACAUAUUAAACUGCCUACGAACUUUUGAUUUUUAUUUAUGUCCUCACAUAAUUUACAUAAUAAACCAGAUUUUACCUUGUCGUCUGCAAAUUUGAUCCAAAACAGAGCAACAGCUCUGUCAUAGGGAUCAGCCGGCAGCAAGGGAUUCUGCGACCAAAUUUCAUCGAUAUAUUGAAGGAUGACGGUGGAUUCACAGAUCGGUUUUCCGUCAUGAACGAGCACCGGGACUUUCUCAUGAAUUGGAUUAUAUUGAAGAAGCAAAGGACUCUUGUUGCGGAGAUCUUCGUCAAUAUAUUCGUAAGGUAUGCCUUUGAGUUUCAGAGCCCAAAUUACUCUGU